rnacentral:rRNA from 1 species
AUUGAACGCUGGCGGCAGGCCUAACACAUGCAAGUCGGACGGUAGCACAGAGGAGCUUGCUCCUUGGGUGACGAGUGGCGGACGGGUGAGUAAUGUCUGGGGAUCUGCCCGAUAGAGGGGGAUAACCACUGGAAACGGUGGCUAAUACCGCAUAACGUCGCAAGACCAAAGAGGGGGACCUUCGGGCCUCUCACUAUCGGAUGAACCCAGAUGGGAUUAGCUAGUAGGCGGGGUAAUGGCCCACCUAGGCGACGAUCCCUAGCUGGUCUGAGGGGAUGACCCGCCACACUGGAACUGAGACACGGGCCAGACUCCUACGGGAGGGAGCAGUGGGGAAUAUUGCACAAUGGGCGCAAGACUGAUGCAGCCAUGCCGCGUGUAUGAAGAAGGCCUUCGGGUUGUAAAGUACUUUCAGCGGGGAGGAAGGCGGUGAGGUUAAUAACCUCGCCGAUUGACGUUACCCGCAGAAGAAGCACCGGCUAACUCCGUGCCAGCCGCCGCGGUAA